AUUUUGUAGGGUGCUUCGUGUAGCACUGAGGUGGGUAGUUCUUCACGUGACCCAUCAAUCACUGAGGCUCAGCCUCAUAUACCACUAGCUUCUGGAUUGUUUGAUGGUGCAUCACAUGUAUGCCUUCACCCAUCAGCUACUUUGGCUGCACAUGACACACCAUAUGACUUGACUACAACCACUUUUCUUGUUCAUGAUAGUUGACCUCCACGUACUAGUGAGGGCA